rnacentral:rRNA from 1 species
GACGAACGCUGGCGGCGUGCUUAACACAUGCAAGUCGAACGGAAAGGCCCCCAUCUUGGUGGGGGUGCUCGAGUGGCGAACGGGUGAGUAACACGUGGGUGAUCUGCCCUGUACUUCGGGAUAAGCUUGGGAAACUGGGUCUAAUACCGGAUAGGACCAUGGUUUAGUGUCUCAUGGUGGAAAGAUUAUUGUUUUGGUGCAGGAUGAGCUCGCGGCCUAUCAGCUUGUUGGUGGGGUAAUGGCCUACCAAGGCGUCGACGGGUAGCCGGCCUGAGAGGGUGGACGGCCACAUUGGGACUGAGAUACGGCCCAGACUCCUACGGGAGGCAGCAGUGGGGAAUAUUGCACAAUGGGCGCAAGCCUGAUGCAGCGACGCCGCGUGGGGGAUGACGGCCUUCGGGUUGUAAACUCCUUUCGUUAGGAACGAAGCCACGCUUGUUGGGUGUGGUGACGGUACCUUUGUGAAGAAGCACCGGCUAACUACGUG